rnacentral:rRNA from 1 species
UACGUAGGGUGCGAGCGUUAAUCGGAAUUACUGGGCGUAAAGCGUGCGCAGGCGGUUUUGUAAGCCAGAUGUGAAAUCCCCGGGCUUAACCUGGGAAUGGCAUUUGGGACUGCAAGGCUCGAGUGCGGCAGAGGAGACUGGAAUUCCUGGUGUAGCAGUGAAAUGCGUAGAUAUCAGGAGGAACACCGGUGGCGAAGGCGGAUCUCUGGGCCGAUACUGACGCUGAGGAGCGAAAGCGUGGGGAGCGAACAGG